rnacentral:rRNA from 1 species
UACAGAGGGUGCAAGCGUUGUUCGGAAUCGUUGGGCGUAAAGGGCGUGUAGGCGGUCUGUUAAGUCAUGUGUGAAAUCCCUCGGCUCAACCGGGGAACGACGCAUGAAACUGACAAGCUAGAGUACCAAAGAGGGGGGUGGAAUUCCCGGUGUAGCGGUGAAAUGCGUAGAUAUCCGGAGGAACACCGGUGGCGAAGGCGGCUUCCUGGACCGACACUGACGCUGAGGCGCGAAAGCUAGGGGAGCAAACGGG